AUUUUACAUUACAUUGGCUAACAGUGGCGGUUUCAUGACAACUCAUGUUGGACUACAACGCUGGCAAAGAUAGAUGAGACAAGAAGUCGCAACCCAAAGUGUGAUGGUGGUGCAAUAUUCUCACAACGUUGAAUGUGGUGGUGCCGGUGCAAGCACAUGGCACGGUGGAGGAGCAGCGAACUCACGACACGGUGGUGGAGGAUUACUGUGGUGGCUUGUCGACACAGAGAAGCUUAGGACAGGACAAAAACGGAGGUCUACAAGAAAUGAAAACGCAAAAAUACAUGUUUUAAAAAACGACAACAAGAAGGUGCACAAGGGUUUUAAAACAAUCAAUACAAAAAGUGAAUAAAAAAAAUAACCGCAUCGAUUCCCAUAUUGAACCGGUGUAAUAUGGUCGUUUGUUAAUUACACAAUUGAUUUAAUAUUGACUCACAUUUAUUAUAAAACUGUGACCGCAUUUUAUUUAUAAGAGUUACAGGAAAUUAAAUAAAUAAAUAAACAUGGUUACACGUGAAAAUAAAAAGUUAUAACUUUCAUUGAAUGAGUCAAAAACAUUUCGUAUAACACUUCCUUAAUAUCAGGGAAUCACCAGACACGAUCCAGAGAUCACUAAGCAUGUCUUUAGCAAUCACUUAUUUGAUCCAUGCAGCCAAGACCCAAGUCAACUUACUAAAAGAAUUUCUGAAAGGAAGAAAAUGUACGUUUUUCAUAAUAUCAGAGAAAUUUAACUAAACACAAACAUUGACUUGAACGUCAGAAUGCAAUUGCAGGUACCCCGCCGACCAGACGAACAUGCGUGAAAAUGAAGAAAGAUUUGAAGAAUCAUAUAACUGCAGGCACGACAACCAUCGUGUAUUGAUGUGGAUCAAGAGGCACUGACAUUCAUACAGUUACAAAAGCUAAAUUUAUUUUUUAUUUAAAAUAAGCAUUUUUUUUCAUCAGUGGCAUUAUUUCAUAAUACAUACCAUAAUAAAAAAAAAUAGCAUACACCAUUGUAUUUGAAAACUAAAGAAUUUUAAAAGUGAAACAAAAUUUUACCACCUACACGUAGCACAGACGCGAACACUGCAAGACUUCAUAG
rnacentral:lncRNA from 1 species